GUAAAUAUAGUUCAACAAUAACAUUAGAUUGUGAAUCUAAAAUUAGAAGUUUAAUUCUUCUUAUUUACC
rnacentral:tRNA from 1 species